GGCACGGCUCGGAACGGCACGCGGCCUCCCGGGACGCAGCGUUUCUGCCAGGUGUUGGUCUGACACACAGUGUGUGCCGUGUUAAUUGGUUUCCUGGGGAGCUUGUGUGAGCCGGGGCCUCGUUAUGCAAGGGCACAGCGGAUUUACUCACUGCUGCUUGGCUGGCCAGGGCAGCGCAGUGCCAUGGGAUCGCUGUGCCGUAUCAUGCACCCCACCUGCCCUGUGGACGCAGCCCUGUGUGCGUUUUACCACCUCACAGAAAUCAGCCCUUGCUCGCUAUUGGCCGGCUGAAAUUUUGGAGCAGACUUGUCUGUGACCUCGGUGAUGGCAGGGCUGGGACGGUACAGCAACUUGGCAGCCAGUUCUCUGCCAGAAAUGCAGGGCUGUUCCCGCUGGGACCUGGGAAACUUGCUCUUGUUCAGCCGGAUUAAUGAGCCGUGUCACAUGAGGGGCUGGGGAGUCACUUUCCUUCCCAGUUUGUGCCUUGACCCCGUGGUAGCAUCACUGCUGGGCACCGCACAGGGAGAUGUGCUGUCCUCUCCCCAAAGCCAGGGCAGGGAUGUCUGAGUUAACGAGCAUGCUUCGGUCCCAGCCCUGCUUCGUUACGGCCUCCGCAAGCACUCGGCUAAAAAUCCAUACAUCAUAUCCUGGGAAACGAACGCACAGCCUCCGCCGGCGUUAUGGCCAUCCUUCAUCAGUGAGCAGCGAGCCGGCUCCGGAGGCGAUAUAAAUCCUGGCAAAGUCGAGACGGGAGGCAAAGACCCGGCACCCUGCACCCCUCACGUCAGCUUUCAGCCCCGAGCCGUGGGUGGGCAAUCCCCGUGUGGGUCUCUGGGCGUUCUCCCUAUCACCAGAAAUUAACGAGGAGGCCGGAUUCUCCCCUAGCGCUUGGAGGAGGCCGGUGCGGGCAGCGCCUGGGCCUGCUGAGCUGGCAGAUGUUGUUUAACAUUCCCGGCAGUAAUUAAUAGAUGGCUUCAUCACUCUUGUAUGAUUCAAACAUGUCGUCCCGCUCCUUUCCAAAUACAGAGCAGAAAUAUUUGUUAAACGUGUCUGGCGUUUUUGCACGAUCAUUAGCACUCAAACAAUUCCAGCGGGCGCAGGAUUUAUAGCCUUGCCAGGGUUUCUUUUGGCCUUAUUAUGCCUCAGACAUUCCUCCCUCCUCUGCCGAUCCCUUUAUCAAUUUCCCCCUGAUUUAUGCGCUUGUAACUUCUCCUUCGCCACCAUUAUGAAUUUCCCCUUUCCCGCCCGUUCCUGGCCGCCCGUCGCAGCCGCCAUUUUGUCUCUGCGGGCCCUGCCCUGGGCUGUGCCCUCUGUGGGGCCGCCUGUGCCGCCUGUUCCUCCUCCUCGCCCCCGAGGCAUGCGCUUGUCACAACUAUUUUGUCAGCUCGGAGCGAUUUCCCUGCACCCCAUAAUCUUGAUGCCAAUCAGCUCCGUAACAACCACCUCGGUGGGGAGCGAUUUCACCGCCAGCCCAGCGCUCUGCACAACUAUGUCAGCAGACGCCUGCAAUCACGCUGUUGGCGGUGGUGUGUGCCUGGGGAGCGGGCCCAGCCCUGCGACGGCCCCAAAGCUCGGCCCCAGAGCUCACGUCUUGCCC
ensembl:lncRNA